GUAGGGAAUAUUGGGCAAUGGAUGCAAGUCUGACCCAGCCAUCCCGCGUGCCGGAAGAAGGCCCUCAGGGUUGUAAACGGCUUUUGACGGUGAAGAAUCGACAGGAUGCGUCCUGUUUUGACGGUAGCCGUUGAAUAAGCACCGGCUAACUCCGUGCCAGCAGCCGCGGUAAUACGGAGGGUGCGAGCGUUGUCCGGAUUUAUUGGGUUUAAAGGGUGCGUAGGCUGGAAGGUCAGUCAGCGGUGAAAAGCUGUCGCGUAACGAUAGUCGUGCCGCAGAUACUUCCUUUCUUGGAUGAGGAGGAGGCCACUGGAACGGAUGGUGUAGCGGUGAAAUGCAUAGAUAUCAUCCAGAACACCGAUUGCGAAGGCAGGUGGCUGUACCUUAAUCGACGCUGAUGCACGAAAGCAUGGGGAGCAAACAGGAUUAGAUACCCUAGUAGUCC
rnacentral:rRNA from 1 species